rnacentral:rRNA from 1 species
GAUGAACGCUGGCGGCGUGCCUAACACAUGCAAGUCGAGCGAUUCUCUUCGGAGAAGAGCGGCGGACGGGUGAGUAACGCGUGGGUAACCUGCCCUGUACACACGGAUAACAUACCGAAAGGUAUGCUAAUACGGGAUAACAUAAGAAAUUCGCAUGUUUUUCUUAUCAAAGCUCCGGCGGUACAGGAUGGACCCGCGUCUGAUUAGCUAGUUGGUGAGGUAAUGGCUCACCAAGGCGACGAUCAGUAGCCGACCUGAGAGGGUGAUCGGCCACAUUGGAACUGAGACACGGUCCAAACUCCUACGGGAGGCAGCAGUGGGGAAUAUUGCACAAUGGGCGAAAGCCUGAUGCAGCAACGCCGCGUGAGCGAUGAAGGCCUCG